AGUAACUGCGAGUGAAGCGGCAAAAGCUCAAAUUUGAAAUCUGGCUCCUUCGGGGUCCGAGUUGUAAUUUGGAGGGGCAUCUUCGGGGUCGGCGCCGUCCUAAGUUCCUUGGAACAGGACGUCACAGAGGGUGAGAAUCCCGUGCCUGGGCGGCUGCCCGAUUCCAUGUGAAGUGCCUCCGACGAGUCGAGUUGUUUGGGAAUGCAGCUCAAAAUGGGUGGUAAAUUUCAUCUAAAGCUAAAUAUUGGCGAGAGACCGAUAGCGCACAAGUAGAGUGAUCGAAAGAUGAAAAGCACUUUGAAAAGAGAGUUAAAAAGUACGUGAAAUUGUUGAAAGGGAAGCGCUUGCGACCAGACUCGGUCUUUGGGGGUCAUCCGGGUUUCGGCCUGGUGCCAUCCCCAUUGAUCGGGCCAGCAUCGGUUCCGGCGGCGGGAUAAAAGGCGAGGGAAUGUGGCUCUCUUCGGGGAGUGUUAUAGCCCUCGCCACAAUGCCGCCAGCUGGGACCGAGGACCGCGCUUCGGCUAGGAUGCUGGCGUAAUGGUCUUAAGCGACCCGUCUUGAAACACGGACCAAGGAGUCUAACAUCUAUGCGAGUGUUCGGGUGGAAAACCCUUGCGCGUAAUGAAAGUGAACGGAGGUGGGAACCCCUCACGGGGUGCACCAUCGACCGGUCCUGAUGUCUUCGGAAGGAUCUGAGUAAGAGCAUAGCUGUUGGGACCCGAAAGAUGGUGAACUAUGCCUGAAUAGGGUGAAGCCAGAGGAAACUCUGGUGGAGGCUCGCAGCGGUUCUGACGUGCAAAUCGAUCGUCAAAUUUGGGUAUAGG
rnacentral:rRNA from 1 species